AUUAUUAGAAUUUGUUACUAGCUUUGAUUCUUGUUGUAAAAGGGACAACAUGUGGCAUUGUAAUUAUUAUCUUAAUUAUCUGCUAGUAGUUAUAUCGACUAACAUUGCUACCUUUUAAACUCGUAGUCUAUUGAUUGUGGACUUUCUUUAUAAAGUUAACGGAAAUAUCAUCGUUUUUAGCAUAUACGAGAUUAUCGCGAUACUAUUUGUUAUCAGAAUGUUGCUUAUAGUCAAUGAGUCCACAUAAUUUCUAUUUAAACUUGUGGUUUAUUGUUUGAGGAUUAUUUUUAAAGGCCAUACAUAUCAAUAAUGAUUACAAUAUGUUUAUGUUUUUAAUGUUGGUGGGAGAUAUCUUUCAGGAUAUUUUUAGCAUCCAGCAUUUAUGCUAUAAACUUUGUUUUGGUUUUAUAGGGGCUUUUUCGUGAGAAAUUAUAUUGGGGAAGAGAGAAGAUUAAUUACUCAAUUUUCAUGCAUAGAUACUUAAUAUUCUGAUCAUCUAGGCAUAAAUAUUAAUAUAGCCCAUAAAUAAUUAAAUCAUUUUAGCUAUAUUAAAUGUGUUUUAGAGAAGAAAAAAAAAAAAACCUCUCUCCUCCAACUUUCCUCUCUUCUCUUCUUUCAGAAAGGAAGGAUAUGGCGUAGUUUCUUUUGGUUCCGGUGUAAUCUGGAUCGUAUAUAUUCUCGUUUUCGAGAUCAAUAAAUUCCGAUUUACUGUCGGAUCUUUAUACCGGUUAAAUCCGCUUUUUUCUCUCGCUUUUAGCGGGAUUCGAUCUCCCUCCAUCCUCGCUUUUCAUCGAUUCACCGGUUUCUCUUCAAAGAUUUCUCUAUUUUCUCCAAUUGAUCGAGGAGUAACAUCUUCAUCGCGUCUUUUGCUCUAAACGAGAGAUCAACGUUGGAUUCAGAUCUACAUCAAGAUGGGUGUAGUCGGUGGUGGAGCUUCCCCGGAGUUGGUGUUUUACAGAAACUUUUUGAAGUUGUGAUUGUCUCUCAAUCCGAGAGAUUCGAUGUCCUUUUGGGUUGGAUUCGAGGUCGGCAGAAGACAAGCGGAUACUCAUCGCUGCAUGACUCAUUGGCGGCGGCUAAUCGAAGUUUCAGCGAUGUCCGGCGAGUUUGACGGCGAUGCGACAAUCCUCGCCACGUAGUUAGGCGAAGACACAUCCUAUACACGUGUCGUUACUUACUUAAUCAUAAUUUGUGUUUAAUUAUUAUUUAAUAUGGGCCGUUUAUUGUCGUUGUAUCCACUGGGCUCAAACUUUCUGUACUUGCCUUUGGGCUUUGCUUAAUGCAAGAUUUGGUCGACAAAAAACAAAAAUGUGUUUAGAUAUCUCAACUAGCUGUAAAAUAUCACCUCAUUAGUCAUUUACUAAACAAAAACUACACUAAUAGUAAAUUACAUCAUAUUUUUAUGGACUUAAUCGAAAAAAUAUUAUGUUAAUAAUUUUUUAAUUUACGGUAAAGAUUAGAAAAAUAUUUGGUCUUUAUGGAUGAAUCUUUUUAUUCACGCUCUUUUCUUCCAGCCAAUUAAAAUUUGUCACCUAAUAAAUAAUAAAUAAAUUUAUUUAAUUAUAUAAUCUAACUUGCCACUAAUACAAAAU
rnacentral:sRNA from 1 species